rnacentral:tRNA from 1 species
GCCCUGGUAGCUUAAACCUAAAGCAUUGGCCUUGUAAACCAAAGACCGUAGAAUAAAAUCUUCCCGGGGCU